GGUUCCGGUGCCGUCGGUGCCCUACCAAGACAAGAAACCGGGGGAAAUGACCCCUACCAAGCCCCACCCCUCCCGCCCGAGGCGCUUCGUCACUCGGGCGGGUGAACAUCACCGUUUGAGCUGGAUUUCGGGGCCCUCAACUCCCCUACUCUCAGCGCAAACAAACACAUCUGAAAAGGCAUCGGCCCCCGCUGGGACUGGCAUCCCGGUGCGAGGGCCUAACCACCAAGGAAGAAGAGAGCUUCCCG
rnacentral:ncRNA from 21 species